UACAGAGGGUGCAAGCGUUAAUCGGAAUUACUGGGCGUAAAGCGUGCGUAGACGGUUACAUAAGUCGGGUGUGAAAGCCCCGGGCUCAACCUGGGAAUUGCAUUCGAGACUGCGUAGCUAGGGUGCGGAAGAGGGAAGCGGAAUUUCCGGUGUAGCGGUGAAAUGCGUAGAUAUCGGAAGGAACACCAGUGGCGAAGGCGGCUCACUGGCCCGGUACUGACGCUGAGGUGCGAAAGCGUGGGGAGCAAACAGG
rnacentral:rRNA from 1 species